rnacentral:misc_RNA from 1 species
GUUAUUUUUUAACUUUUUCAUGGUCAGUCAGUGUAUAGUAUAAAGUUUGGCCGGGAAGAAAGACAAUUCUCCGGGGAAAAAAGUUUUCUGCCCGCCCCCGUGCUGGCCCAGCAAAACUGGCCCAACAACUACAAAAACGGUGCACAGGUAUAGAUUUUUGGAGAGGGGAAGCCCAUAGGACCUUCCCCCCCCCGCCAUUUCUAAUGAUCCUUCCGCAGGUUCACCUACGGAAA